CUGGAAACGGUAGCUAAUACCGCAUAACGUCGCAAGACCAAAGAGGGGGACCUUCGGGCCUCUUGCCAUCAGAUGUGCCCAGAUGGGAUUAGCUAGUAGGUGGGGUAAUGGCUCACCUAGGCGACGAUCCCUAGCUGGUCUGAGAGGAUGACCAGCCACACUGGAACUGAGACACGGUCCAGACUCCUACGGGAGGCAGCAGUGGGGAAUAUUGCACAAUGGGCGCAAGCCUGAUGCAGCCAUGCCGCGUGUGUGAAGAAGGCCUUCGGGUUGUAAAGCACUUUCAGCGAGGAGGAAGGUGGUGAGCUUAAUACGCUCAUCAAUUGACGUUACUCGCAGAAGAAGCACCGGCUAACUCCGUGCCAGCAGCCGCGGUAAUAC
rnacentral:rRNA from 1 species